rnacentral:rRNA from 1 species
GAUGAACGCUGGCGGCGUGCCUAAUACAUGCAAGUCGAGCGAAUGGAUUAAGAGCUUGCUCUUAUGAAGUUAGCGGCGGACGGGUGAGUAACACGUGGGUAACCUGCCCAUAAGACUGGGAUAACUCCGGGAAACCGGGGCUAAUACCGGAUAACAUUUUGAACCGCAUGGUUCGAAAUUGGAAGGCGGCUUCGGCUGUCACUUAUGGAUGGACCCGCGUCGCAUUAGCUAGUUGGUGAGGUAACGGCUCACCAAGGCAACGAUGCGUAGCCGACCUGAGAGGGUGAUCGGCAACACUGGGACUGGGACACGGCCCAGACUCCUACGGGAGGCAGCAGUAGGGAAUCUUCCGCAAUGGACGAAAGUCUGACGGAGCAACGCCGCGUGAGUGAUGAAGGCUUUCGGGUCGUAAAACUCUGUUGUUAGGGAAGAACAAGUGCUAGUUGAAUAAGCUGGCACCUUGACGGUACCUAACCAGAAAGCCACGGCUAACUACGUGCCAGCCGCCGCCGUAA